UACGUAGGGGGCAAGCGUUGUCCGGAAUCAUUGGGCGUAAAGCGCGUGUAGGCGGCUCGAUAAGUCUGCUGUGAAAGUCCAGGGCUCAACCCUGAAUCGGCCGUCGAUACUCCUGGGCUCGAGCACUGUAGAGGCAGAUGGAAUUCCGGGUGUAGCGGUGGAAUGCGUAGAGAUCCGGAAGAACACCGGUGGCGAAGGCGGUCUGCUGGGCAGUUGCUGACACUGAGGCGCGACAGCGUGGGGAGCAAACAGG
rnacentral:rRNA from 1 species